rnacentral:tRNA from 1 species
GGAGGAGUGGCAGAGUGGUUGAUCGCACCUGUCUUGAAAACAGGCAUCCCGCUUGCGGGAUCGGGGGUUCGAAUCCUCCCUCCUCCG